rnacentral:misc_RNA from 1 species
UCUCCGUAGGUGAACCUGCGGAGGGAUCACUACAGGCUUGCAAAAGCUCUGAAACCACUGUUUAUCUACCUGAAUCUGCUCCGGCGGGCGGCCCCAGGGCGGGGCCGUAGCCGCAAGGCGCCCGCCGAAGACCCCUAAACUCUGUCGUCUUGAGAAUCUCUGAGUAAUUAUAUUAAACAAAAACAACUUUCAACAACGGAUCUCUUGGCUCUG